rnacentral:rRNA from 1 species
AGUGAACGCUGGCGGUAGGCCUAACACAUGCAAGUCGAACGGCAGCACAGGAGAGCUUGCUCUCUGGGUGGCGAGUGGCGGACGGGUGAGGAAUACAUCGGAAUCUACUCUGUCGUGGGGGAUCACGUAGGGAAACUUACGCUAAUACCGCAUACGACCUACGGGUGAAAGCAGGGGAUCUUCGGACCUUGCGCGAUUGAAUGAGCCGAUGUCGGAUUAGCUAGUUGGCGGGGUAAAGGCCCACCAAGGCGACGAUCCGUAGCUGGUCUGAGAGGAUGAUCAGCCACACUGGAACUGAGACACGGUCCAGACUACUACGGGAGGCAGCAGUGGGGAAUAUUGGACAAUAGUCGCAAGCCUGAUCCAGCCAUACCGCGUGGGUGAAGAAGGCCUUCGGGUUGUAAAGCCCUUUUGUUGGGAAAGAAAUCCAGCUGGCUAAUACCCGGUUGGGAUGACGGUACCCAAAGAAUAAGCACCGGCUAACUUCGUGCCAGCAGCCGCCGUAA